AUGUGCCUUUUUGUUCAGUUGGACAGCCUGCUCCCAAGGUUUACGAGCCGACUAAUUUCAUCUGGAUAUAUACUAGCUAUUUGCUGGGAGGUGCAGGAGAGGCACAACCCCUGCCACACCGAAGAGAAAGACGAUGGCUUCCAUGAAGAAAUUCGUCGAAGUGACUCCAAUGACCCACAGGACUCCACCAGCAACGACAUUAUCAAAGGGUCAAGGAGCAGCAAUUUGAUAUGCAUCCGUGACAAUGAAGUUUUCUCCACGGCGCGGAAUCGAUGCUGGCGACCCCGCCGUUUCCACACCACCCCGAGGAGAAGCACAACAGGAAGGGAUAUAGAGCGACAAAUCCUAUUUUACUGUCCCCGUUUCCCGGUUUCCACAUCGCGGCGACUCGAUCCGCUGCUCUCGGGCACGGCACUCUUGAAUGAGUCAGAUUUAUCGAGGGACAAGACUGGCAAGCGCUCCUACGUGUCGAUCUUCGACCGAGAGCGCUGGUAG
rnacentral:rRNA from 1 species